rnacentral:misc_RNA from 1 species
UCUCCGUUGGUGAACCAGCGGAGGGAUCAUUACAGGACUCGCAAGACUCCUACAACCCUGUGAACUUAACUAUAAGCACGUUGCUUCGGCGGGGGUCUCGGAGGGGGUUCUCCCUCCCCGAGACGCUAAACCCGCCGGCAGCCUACUAUACUCUGUCUCUUUGCGUUGGCAUCUCGAGUACAAUCAAACAAGUUAAAACUUUCAACAACGGAUCUCUUGGUUCUG